rnacentral:rRNA from 1 species
UACCGAGGGGGCAAGCGUUGUUCGGAAUUACUGGGCGUAAAGGGCUCGUAGGCGGUCAUCUAAGUCAGACGUGAAAUCCCCCGGCUUAACCUGGGAACUGCGUCUGAUACUGGACGGCUUGAGUAUGGGAGAGGGAUGUAGAAUUCCAGGUGUAGCGGUGAAAUGCGUAGAUAUCUGGAGGAAUACCGGUGGCGAAGGCGGCAUCCUGGACCAUUACUGACGCUGAGGCGCGAAAGCUAGGGGAGCAAACGGG